GACGAACGCUGGCGGCGUGCUUAACACAUGCAAGUCGAGCGGUAAGGCCCUUUGGGGUACACGAGCGGCGAACGGGUGAGUAACACGUGAGUAAUCUGCCUUUGGCUUGGGAAUAACUUCGGGAAAUCGGGGCUAAUGCCUGAUGUUUACUGUCUGCUGCAUGGUGGGUGGUGGAAAGAUUUUUUGGCCAGGGAUGAGCUCGCGGUCUAUCAGCUUGUUGGUGGGGUAAUGGCUUACCAAGGCUUUGACGGGUAGCCGGCCUGAGAGGGUGUUCGGCCACACUGGGACUGAGACACGGCCCAGACUCCUACGGGAGGCAGCAGUGGGGAAUAUUGCGCAAUGGGCGUAAGCCUGACGCAGCGACGCCGCGUGGGGAUGAAGGCCU
rnacentral:rRNA from 1 species